UCAAACUAUUGUUGAUUCUUAGCUGCUGCCUGACAGUUUGCCUUUGCGAUACUUAUUCUGAACCUAGAAAUCCCAAAGCUGCAAGAGGUACAUGUAUUCCAACUAGGUCUAGACCUGAAAUUAUUUUAAUGAGUGGUGAUGUAAGUAGGGAUGAGACGAGUUGUACUCAAUUAAUAUGCAAUGAAGAUGGAUCAGUCGAUUACGAAACCUGUGAUGAUUUUUCUUAUGAUGAUAACCAAUGUCUCAUAGACUUAAAUUAUCCUUUCCCAGAUUGUUGUAAUU